GCGAAAGGGCCUGAGGCGUCAAGGGCUAAGAGCUGUGGGAAGGCACUGCGUGUUGGCUCCCCCGGGUGCAAUUCUAGCCUACCUGCACCGCCUGCAGCCCUCGCAACCUGAGUCGCACCUGCUCACCCGCCUGGUCCACGAGCAACAGGUUCUGAGGCCGGGGUCCUCGGGCGCUGGUGGCUCCUCUGCCCAUGGUGCUCAUGUGCGUCUGGGGCCGGCCUGCGAGUGGCCGGGUGCAUCCAGCUGGUGCGUGUUCUGCAGACUGACAAAGCUCUGGACUUGCACUAAAGUCAACUGUUGGGCCAGGUCCAGGAUCUCCUUGUAUAAAGCAGACUCCCUCUGGCUUGAUGAACAUGCAUCUGAAAAAAAUUAAAAGGCAUGCAGAAAGAAGCAGCAUCUGUUCUGAGAGCAAAGAAGAUGAAAACAUAAAUUAAAAAUUCAGUUCCAGUGAGCUGCCUUCUGUAUCUGAGUCAGAGAGAAGAGAGCCAGUUACACAAAAAAUCAUCUGUGGGGAAGCAUAAGGAGUUUGGAAUCAGCCACAUCUGCCUUUGAAUCCUCUCUGCCAUUUACUAGGUGCAUCAUCUUGAGUGCAGCCCAUUACCACACUAUCAUCGGUUUGGGACAAAAGACGAGUGAACAACACUGAGACAGAAUGUUCUUUCUGAGAAAUAGUCAGAUCUCGAUGAAAUUCGGAGCAGACUCCUUAGCAAGAGGAUUGUUUGUUCGCUGCUUGGCUGCAGGUUGGUCGGGGCUACUGUGUGUUUCCUAGAAGUCGAUGUUCUGAGAGUGAAACCCUGAUACACACUCACAGGAUGGGAUCCACAUUGCAGUUCAACCCUGUGAUCUUGUUUUCAUUGCAAAGAUACCCAAGCCUGUAAAACUUGAGUUUUGAAAGUUCAGCUUUGAUACUGUUAACCUGUUAAAAUGUGACAGUACAGAAAAGCAACGUGUCACACACCACAGAAUUUUCCAAAGCAGUUCUUGGCUGCAUGUGGGAGGAAAAGCUGCAUUUGUCUUCCUUUCAGCUUGACACCUGGACACCUACACUUAAGAGUGGGCUAGUCUGUUUGAUAACAGGCUCAGUUUUUGUCUCUACAAGGUGACAUCUCUGCUGGGAUAAAUAUUUAUUUAGUCUAGGAGACUGUUUUUGGAAACCAUGAGGAAGCUAGCAUUGUCUGGGGUCCAUCUUCCUUUACUGCUCUCUCUGCUACAAGAAAGCAGAAGUAUGUUGGUAGUAAACAAAGUCAGCAUUCUCCCACUUCACUAAGAAAACUAGCAAGAAAGGGAUCAGAAAAGGGAGAACAUAUUUAAUUUCUUUUGGGACCUACCGACUGGGUCCUCAUUUCUUUUAUGUUACUUUCUUAAAGCACUUGACAUGAGAUUCUGAGAAUCUGCUAAAACAUGUGUUCUGCUAAAACCUCAAGGCUGCCUGGUGUUCAGCAUCCUUUUCAGUA